rnacentral:rRNA from 1 species
AUGGCCAGAUCUGCAGCUCAUGGGUUGAACCCCUGCACUGCAAUCCCCCUUGCACUGGCUCCACCUUUCUCUUCCUCUUCCACUUCCUCUUUCUCUUCCUCUUCCCCUUCCUCUUCCACUUCCUCUUUUAAUUGCCAACCAGUCCGGCCUCCCGGCCCCAUCUUCUUGGUUCACCUAAGAAAUCUUCCACCUGUUCAAGUCGCCGGCUCCAAGGCUGCCAUCCACGCCAAAUCGGUGGCCGCUAGCACUGCGCCCAACAGCCACUGCUCGGCUCCUUGCACCUGCCGCUGCUCGACGGAUCCGAGGGGGGCGAGAAGGACAGGGCGUGUGGCAGCUGUGAGGGAAAGAGAAGCAGGUUACCAUGGGGGCGUGUGGGACAAAUCUCUAAUGUACCAGGUUAGUCCAGAUUACACUCUCGCCGACUCCAAUCCUCAUCUAUUGUCUUGCUGGUUUGCCACUGAUCUAGGUAUAUAA